UACCAAUCCCAGCUUGGGUCCCCAAAGUGUCUCGGGGUUAAAGGUUAAUCCAACAGAAGGAUUUGAUCAAAGUGUCCGAAGCACUGUCCAAUCUAGAAACAGGUCUGUCUGUCCAAUCUAGAAACAGGUCUGUCUGUCCAAUCUAGAAACAGGUCUGUCUGUCUGUUCUAGAAACAGGUCUGUCUGUCUGUUCUAGAAACAGGUCUGUCUGUCUGUUCUAGAAACAGGUCUGUCUGUCUGUUCUAGAAACAGGUCUGUCUGUCUGUUCUAGAAACAGGUCUGUCUGUCUGUUCUAGAAACAGGUCUGUCUGUCUGUUCUAGAAACAGGUCUGUCUGUCUGUUCUAGAAACAGGUCUGUCUGUCUGUUCUAGAAACAGGUCUGUCUGUCUGUUCUAGAAACAGGUCUGUCUGUCUGUUCUAGAAACAGGUCUGUCUGUCCGAUCUAGAAACAGGUCUGUCUGUCCGAUCUAGAAACAGGUCUGUCUGUUCUAGAAACAGGUCUGUCUGUCCGAUCUAGACACAGGUCUGUCUGUCCGAUCUAGAAACAGGUCUGUCUGUCCAAUCUAGAAACAGGUCUGCCUGUCUGUUCUAGAAACAGGUCUGUCUGUCCAAUCUAGAAACAGGUCUGUCUGUCCAAUCUAGAAACAGGUCUGUCUGUCCGAUCUAGAAACAGGUCUGUCUGUCCAAUCUAGAAACAGGUCUGUCUGUCCAAUCUAGAAACAGGUCUGUCUGUCCAAUCUAGAAACAGGUCUGUCUGUCCGAUCUAGAAACAGGUCUGUCCAGAGGUCCAGGGUUCCUGACGACUCAGCAGGGUAACAGACGUUGUGCUCUGCUCUCUGCUGUCUUCCACCUGAGUCCAACCACGGGGUUGUGAGAGAGUUACUGUCCACUGAGGAAGGCCAGGUGUCCUUUG